AUUGAACGCUGGCGGCAGGCCUAACACAUGCAAGUCGAGCGAGCGGCGGACGGGUGAGUAAUGUCUGGGAAACUGCCUGAUGGGGGGGGAUAACUUCUGGGAAAGGUAGCUAAUACCGCAUACCAUCUGAUGGGCCCAGAUGGGAUUAGCUAGUAGGUGGGGUAACGGCUCACCUAGGCGCCGAUCCCUAGCUGGUCUGAGAGGAUGACCAGCCACAAGGGAAUUGAGAAACGUUCCAGACGCCUACGGGAGGCAGAAGUGGGGAAUAUUGCACAAUGGGCGCAAGCCUGAUGCAGCCAGGCCGCGUUUGUGAAGAAGGCCUCCGGGUUGGAAAGCACUUUCAGCGGGGAGGCGUUACCCGCAGAAGAAGCACCGGCUAACUCCGUGCCAGCAGCCGCGGUAAUAC
rnacentral:rRNA from 1 species